GUGAUAAAAAUUAACCUAGACUACGCGAGUGUAUGUACUUCGCGUGUCCAAACUAAGUAUAAAACUCUAACUUGACGCUGCCCUGCCCUACACUCAGUUCGCGCCAUACUUGCUCUGUGGUCCGCGCUUGCAGCUCGCCAGGGAAAGACGUGUAACUGAAUAGAGUAAAAUCAAAAAUGCCGAAUUGCGCAGUAAUAAACUGUAGAAACUCCACAGCAGUGAGUGGCCGAGUUAACGGAGAUGUUUCCUUCCACCGUUUUCCAAGUAACCCGAACAUAAAAGAAAAAUGGAUCAAGGCGACAGGACAUAACGAUUGGUUUCCAACAAAAUAUAGCACAAUUUGCUCUAAACAUUUUAGUGAAGCCAGCUUUGUUAAAGGAAAAAAGCUUCGACUAUUGAAAAAAACAGCCUAUCCGACAAUUGAUAUACUGAAAACGAUAAUUGAUGAAGAGAUAAAAGAUCCAAAACAGCCCUUUAAAAGCCAUUCACCAUAACCAAAAAAGAUAAUUUUAGAACAGGAUACUAACGAAUCGUCAGUGGAGAACACACCAAAAAAGAAGUUAUUAAGUAAACUGCAUGUUGCUCACGAUAAAAUUGAAAAACAAAAUAACGAAAAUAAAGAUUCAAAACCACCACCCCCAAGAAAUCCUUCACCACAACCGAGAAAGAGAAUUUUAGAACAGGAUACUUACGAAUCGUUAAUGGAGAAUACAUUAAAAAAGGAGAAAUUAUUAAGUAAAUUGCAUGUUGCUAAGGAAAAAAUUGAAAGACGAAACAAGGAAAUAAAAAGACUGAGAGAACAGAACCGUCGAAAAAAAGUAAAAAUACUAUCCCUGAUGACUUUAUUUUCGUGCUUGAACAGAAAUGUUUUCUCAAUUAUGAGCAGGCUAAAUCACUUGACACAACCAACGUUACCACUCAAGAACUUUUCUCCAGACAGUUGAAGAAUAAAAACGUAGUCAGCAGUCAGCACAUCAAAAUAUUCUCCAGCACAACGGAGCUUCGCUUUAACAUUACACCAUUAUUCAACCAAAGCCAAAUUCUAUGCUAUGUGAGAAAAGUGUUUACUCUGUGUCUACCACAUCCCCACACCAUUCAAAAAUGGUACAAAAGUAUAAACGGGAGCCCUGGUUUUACUACGGAGUCUUUAGUAGCUUUAAAGUUUUUAGCGAGUAAAUCGAAGCAUCCUCUAUAUUGUUGCCUCAUGAUUGACGAAAUGGCGAUAUGAAGAAAAAUAGAAUAGGGCGGAAAAAAAAUUGUUGGUUAUGUGGACUUUGGAGGCGUUUUAGAUACCGAUCAAGCUCCUGAGGCUAAGGAAGCAUUUGUGUUAUAAAUCGGUAUAAGUGGAAGGUUCCGGCUGGAUGUUUUUUAAUAGAUGGGGCAAAUGGACAGAAAAAAAAGCCGAAAAAGCCGAUUUGGUGCCUGAGACAUUUAAACAAAUCGAAUAUAUUAUAUGCAUAGUUGGUCUUACUUUAUAUGGGUGUCCGUCUAAUUUAGUGAUGGCCAAAAUAAUAGGUUGUUAAUUAAAACCGAAUGAUAACAUGGCAACAACGUUUGAACACCCAGUAACAAAACAACCCGUUGCAUUUUUUUAGAUAUUGUCUCCAAACAUAUUAAAAAUAUUGUUGAUGGUGAUGGUAAUUGCAUUUCAUGGAAGUAUUUCGAACACUUGAACAGACUUCAAAGGACUGAAUACUUCCAUUACUGCUUUGACUGAUUUGACUGCAGGGACAAUAGCACAGACUGUAGUUAUGGUUUCAAAAUAAACUGUAUAUAUUUA